rnacentral:misc_RNA from 1 species
GUGAAUCAUCCGAAUUUUUGAACGCAAAUUGCACUCUCCUCGGAGAGUAUGCCUGUUUGAGGGUCAGCCUAAAAAAAAUCGACAUAGUUGCGGUCCCGCGGGGACGUUCGUCGGAAAUUGGGGUAUCUGAAACCGUUUGGAUUAAGCGACUGAAAAGUUUACUUGUGAUGCCAGGAACGGAUCUAAGAUUUAUUACUGUACACGAGGAAGGUAUCGAGUUUUAUUAGAAGUGGCGGUCAUAUCGGAGCGAGGCAAUAAUG